AUUGUUUGCCAUCAAUCUACUCUGAUGCAUAGCAGGUCUAUGGUAAAGUACUUUUGAAUGAAAUGCAAAAUGGUGUAUUGGCAUCUCUAGCAGCCGAUUACUGGAAUGCUUUCAUUUUCCAGUGUUGGAUAAAUGCAACUGAAUGAAUCAUUCCCCCUUCUACCCAUCUCCAAUGGUUUGGCCUAUUGCCCGGCAAAUUCCAUCUACGUGGGGGUGGGAGCUCCACUCGAUGCUGUUGCGGGUGAUUGGUAUUAAUCCGAUACUGUUUUUUACUGCUCUAGGUAACCUUAGAUCUUCUGUUAUGCUUGUAAGCAGUCUAAGGACUGGGAUGCAAAAUGUGAUAAAAUGGCCUUUACUAGUGACUUUGUCCGGGAAAUGCGAGUUUAUUUUUAUUUUUUCUUCCUGUCGAGUACUAUAUUUCUUACAUGCAACCAUGAUAAUCCCUAGUAAUCAAAGGUUGCCGUGACACAGUGAACUGGAAUUGAUUUCUGCUCCUUUUGUGGGUAAAAAGUACUAGAGGGAGAAACUUGUCCGCAAAUCCUGAACUGAAUAGAAAGGGGAGAGGAUGAUAUGAACGAUCGAUGGUUAAGUUGUGAGAAAAAUUGAUUACUUUUUACCUGUUAUGCAAACAAACGUGCAUUCAUACUUCGAUUAUCCAUGUUUAGUUUCAUGACACGUUUUCAGAUCAGAUCGGUCUACAAGCCUUCUUCUCAUGUCGGCCAGUAAUUCUGAUGUUAAUUACUUAUUUUAUCCCCAUAAAUGCCCCCUCUGAGAUCGAUUUACUAUGUUCUGUCUCCUUCACUCCUUUUUCCUUCCUUCUGGUUAAUGAUGGAUAAUUAUUUAACAUCACCAGUGGCCAAAAAAUCUAAAAACAUGGAGUAUAUAAGGAAAAUGUGAUAUAAAAAAACUAAAUUUGAGAAACCUUAACCUCAAAAGCACCACCGCCGUGUCUCGCGCACCUAAACAGCCACCCUCUUCCCUCUCAAUCUUGCGCUCGCCACACAGCCACCCUUUCGAAAUCGUUCAAUAACCAAAACAUUAACGAAUGAAAUGGAGUGGAAUCGAGGCGACUCGUCGAUGAGUUUGGGUAAGUUAUGGGGUGAGUCAGAUGAGUGGGUGGAGCGAGUUAAAUACUAACAUCACCAAUUUGGAUGGUCUCCAGGAGUGCUAAUGGAAAGUAAGCUCACAGACGAGCAAAAAUGGCAGAAGAAAAGUUAAAUCAGAGAGGGAGAGUAAGAGAGGGAGAUUUCCUGAAUUUCAAGCUCAUCAUUAAUUCAUCAUUUCAUAAUAUUCUCACGCCCAGACAAAUUCAGUUACAUGUAAUUUAGCCAUGAUAUUCCUUCUACACUAGCUGAUAACUAUCACGAAGUUAAUGUUCCAAGGCAAAUAAAGAACUGAAAGGAACAGAUAAAACGCUACGUAUGACAAACAAGCAAAACAAACAUGUAAAAAAAAAACAAAACAAAACAAAAAAAAAAAUACUAGUAUCUAACACUACUCUAAAAGGCAUGGGGCUUUCCCCACGCCUUUUAUUUUUCUUAUAUUAAUAUUUUUGUUUUUUUUUCUUUUCUCAUGAUUGUCUUUUUUUAAAAAAUAAAUUAUAUUUUUUUUUCAAAAUUAUUUUUGCUGAUUUUCUUUUAAUAUUGAAUUGGUUGAGAAUUUAGCUCUGUUAUUUAAAAAAAACAUUAUGGAUUGCUAUAAUGUUUCCCUGUAUGAUUUUUUUCUUUCUUUUUAUAAUUGUUUUUUUUUCCAAAAUGAUCAUUGUUGAUUUUUUUUUUCAUAUUGAGUUUGUUGAGAAUUUAGCUUUAUAGUUUUUUUAAAAAAAAACAUUGUAGAUUACUACAGUAUUUUCUCCACAUGGAUUUUGUUUUGGUACAAUAUUUCUCUAUGUUUUUUUUUCAAAAUUAUCUUUGUUGAAUAUUUUUUUUUUAAUAUUGAGUUGGUUGAGAAUUUAGCUUUAACUUUCCCUAAAUGUUUUUUCCCCCAGAAUUGUCUCUUUUUUUUUGUUUUUUUUGUGUUUUUUUCAUAAUUAUUUUUGUCAAUUUUAUUUUUUUAAUAUUGAGUUAGUUAAGAAUUUAGCUUUGUAGUUUUUUCUUUAAAACACUGUUGAUUGCUACAGUGUUUUUUCAUAUGAUUUUUUUUCUUUUUUCUUUGUUUUUUUUUCUAGAAUUGUUUUUGUCAAUUUUAGUUUUUUUCAUAUUAAGUUGGUUGAUAAUUUAGCUUUAUAGUUUUUUUCUUGAAAAAAAAACAUUGUGGAUUGCUAUAGUGUUUCUGCACAUGAUUUUUUCUUGAUACAGUGUUUCCCCACAUGUUUUUUUAUCGAUUUAUUUUCAAAAUUAUCUUUGUCGUAUUUAUAUUUUUCAUACUGAGCUGGUUGAAAAUUUAGCUUUAUAGUUUUUUUCUUUAAAACACCGUUGAUUGCUAAAGUGUUUCCCCACAUUUUUUUUUGUUAUAAUAUUUUUCAAAAUUAUCUUUAUCGAUUUUAUUAUUUUUAAUAUUGAGCUGGUUAAAAAUUACAACUGUAGAUUUUCUCAUGAAACACUAUAGAUUGCUACAGUGUUUCCUGCAUAGUUUUUUUUUCUUUUGUUUUUUUUAUGAUUUUUUCUAAAAUUAUCUUUAUUGAUUUUAGUUUUUUAAUAUUGAGUUGAUUGAAAAUUACAAUUGUAUAUUUCCUUACAAAACACUAUAGAUUGUUGUAGUGUUUCCUUACAUGAUUUUUUUUUUAUGAUUUGUUUUUAAAAUUAUUUUUGUUUAUUUUAUUUUUUUAAUAUUAAGCUGAUUGAGAAUUUAGCUUUUGUAGUUUAAUUUGUUUUUUGAAAAUAUUAUAAAUUGCAAUAAUAUUUUUUCCUAUAAUUAUUUUUUAAAAAAUUUUAUAAUUUGUUUUAUAAAUACAUGAGAAUGUGCAAGAAUACAUAAACCCGCGAAAACGCACGGGUAUAGCAACUAGUAAUGAAAAUAAAAGGCGUGGGAAAACUACAGUACUUUCCCACGCCUUUUAGAGUAUUGUUAAUAAUAAUAAUAAUAAAACAAGCCCAAAACUCUCCCCCUCCAACUCCUUCUAGAAAGCAAAAAGCAAAGAGAAUUCAAAGAGAUGAAGAAAUGGCUUCGUUUGCAGAAGCACCACCUGGCGAUUCGAAAGUCGGAGAGAAGAUCUUUAAGACCAAGUGUGCUCAGUGUCAUACCGUCGACAAGGGUGCCGGUCAUAAGCAAGGUAACUUUAUCGCCCCCCUCUUUUUGUUUUGAUCUUAUAUUUUCGAGGUCAAAUUGUCUUUUAUUUUGUUGAUUAUUAUGUUUUCAGCCCCAAUAAUUCGUAGAUCUAAUCUGUUUAGAUGGACAGAACUGUGGAGUUUUUUUUCUCUCUCUCUCUCUCUGAUGGGUUUAAGGUUUUUGCAAGAAAAUCAUGAUUUUGGUGAGAGGUGGAACUGGGUUUAGAAAUGGAUUUAAUUAAGCAAAGAUUAAAUUUAUGUGGGUUUCUUUCGGUGUUUUUUUGAAGUUUUAGGAUGAUAUUUAUAAUUUUGGAUUGGGAUUUGGGAUCUGGUUUUUAAUGAGUGAACAUUUUAGAUGGUCAAUUUCUUCUGAGAUUUGUGUUAAACUUAUUUGCUUGGUUCCUGUGUUUUUAAGGUUUUAAUUUGCUUCGACUGUUUAAAUGUUCAGGACCCAAUCUGAAUGGCUUGUUUGGAAGGCAGUCAGGAACAACUGCUGGAUACUCUUACUCUGCUGCUCACAAGAACAUGGCCGUCACGUGGGAGGAGAAGACUUUGUAUGAUUACUUGCUCAACCCCAAGAAGGUAUUAAUCAACUCUAAAGCAUAGUAUGACUUGGCAUGUAUGACAGGGCGUCUUUAACUGGUUAAGAAGUAUGGUUUAAACAUUGAGGUUUAGUGAUAAUUCUGUCAUGAUAGCUGAACUUAGUUGUUUUCUAUCAAUUUAUGACAUUGUUACUCAGCAUUUGGUAACUUAAGGUCCCGAAGAGAAACAUGCUGGACAAUAUGUUAGGUCUAGUAAUUAGGAAGGCUGGGUUAAAAAUUGAAGGACUUGCAAACAGAGAACAUGGAGCGUGUAGAUUAUUAUGUUUAGGCUUUGCUCUGAGAUCAAGGUUGAAUAAUCAAGGAAAGCGACCCCAUCAUUGAUGAUAUUUAUCCUAUGGUGUAUGAAAUGAACUUUCACAUUUCAUUUCAAUGUGAUAAGAUAGCCUAGCAUUUAUAGUUGGUAGAAUCAUCCGACUAUCUUAGAUACAGAUGAAGAACUCAUGUCUUGACACUGGUGUUUGUGCCUCUUAUACCAUGUUUAUUUUUGUUAGUUUGCGAUGCUGACCCGUAGUGAAAAUUGUUUGCGCAGUACAUCCCUGGAACAAAGAAGGAUUUCCCUGGAUUGAAGAAGCCACAGGAGCGUGCUGAUGUCAUUGCAUACUUGAAGCAGUCCACUGCAUCUUAAGCAUUUCACACUUCUGGCCUCCCCAUUUUGCAGUUGUUGGAGAUAUUGUUUUUUACCAAUAAAUAACCAUCCUAUACAAUGAGCAUUGCGUCGAAGCUCCUUCUAAGAGUUGCCAUAAUUAGCAAACUUAACAUUCGAUUCAUUUAGCUUACUGUGCCUCUAUUUUGCGAAUAUUUGGUGGAUUACCAAUGAACAGUUUGUUAAUGAUAGUUUUUGGUUUUGAUGAUAUUGCAUAUGAACAUUUCCAUGGUUGCUAUCGCUUGCCUUCAAUAUACUCUGAUGCAUAACAGGUCUACGGUAAUGUACCUUUGAAUGAAAUGCAAAAUGGUGUAUUGGCAUCUCUAGCAGGCGAACAUUGGAAUGCUUUCAUCUUCUAGUGUUGGAUAAAUGCAACUGAAUGAAUCAUUCCCCCUUCUACCCAUCUCCAAUGGUUUGGCCUAUUGCCCGGCGAAUUCCAUUUACGUGGGGGUGGGAGCUCCACUUGAUGCUGUUGCGGGUGAUUGGUAUUAAUCCGAUACUGUUUUUUACUGCUCUGGGUAACCUUAGAUCUUCUGUUAUGCUUGUAAGCAGUCUGAGAACUGGGAUGCAAAUGUGAUAAAGUGGCCUUUACUAGUGACUUU
rnacentral:lncRNA from 1 species